rnacentral:rRNA from 1 species
AGCAGCCGCGGUAAUUCCAGCUCCAAUAGCGUAUAUUAAAGUUGUUGUGGUUAAAAAGCUCGUAGUUGAACCUUGGGCCUGGCUGGCCGGUCCGCCUCACCGCGUGUACUGGUCCGGCCGGGCCUUUCCCUCUGUGGAACCCCAUGCCCUUCACUGGGUGUGGCGGGGAAACAGGACUUUUACUGUGAAGAAAUUAGAGUGCUCCAGGCAGGCCUAUGCUCGAAUACAUUAGCAUGGAAUAAUAGAAUAGGACGUGUGGUUCUAUUUUGUUGGUUUCUAGGACCGCCGUAAUGAUUAAUAGGGACAGUCGGGGGCAUCAGUAUUCAAUUGUCAGAGGUGAAAUUCUUGGAUUUAUUGAAGACUAACUACUGCGAAAGCAUUUGCCAAGGAUGUUUUCAUUAAUCAGGAACGAAAGUUAGGGGAUCGAAGACGAUUAGAUACCGUCGUAGUCUUAACCAUAAACUAUGCCGACUAGGGAUCGGACGGUGUUAUUUUUUGACCCG